rnacentral:rRNA from 1 species
GGAAGUAAAAGUCGUAACAAGGUUUCCGUAGGUGAACCUGCGGAAGGAUCAUUACUGAUUUAGCGAACCGAGCAUUAGCGAGGUUUUGCGAUCAAUUUAUAUUUAAAACCCACUCUUUAAUGUAUAAAAUUUGUAUUAAUGAUAAAUUAAAAGAUCACUUUCAACAACGGAUCUCUUGGCUCUCGCAUCGAUGAAGAACGUAGCGAAGUGCGAUAAGUAAUGUGAAUUGCAGUAUUCCGUGAAUCAUCGAAUCUUUGAACGCAUAUUGCACUUUCUGGUAUUCCGGAAAGUAUGCCUGUUUGAGGGUCAGUUAAAUAAAAAUCGGUGUUGUUGCUGCCUUCCGUGGUGACGCGUCGGAAUUGAGUUGUCUUACCUUCGGUUAAGUGGCUUAAAAUUUUGCACGAUUUUCGAACGUAUUUAAAUUUUUUUGUACGUGAGAUAUCGAAUAUUUUAUUAGGUUCGGUUAUCCUCAUGACUCGCGCCUAUAAUUUUCAUUAAAUGACCUCAAAUCAGGUAAGAAUACCCGCUGAACUUAAGCAUAUCAAUAAGCGGAGGA